rnacentral:rRNA from 1 species
GGAAAAGAAACUAACGAGGAUUCCCUUAGUAGCUGCGAGCGAACAGGGAGAAGCCCAGCACUGAAUCCCGGAGGCCUCGCUUCCAGGGAAAUGUAGUGUUUGGGAGGGUUCAUAUACCCGAUACCGUCGCACUGCGUCCAAGUCCAUCUUGAAAGAGGCCACGGUCCCGAGAGGGUGCCAGGCCCGUGGUAGGCCAGUGCAGGUGUUGGGUGGACCUCUCCUCAGAGUCAGGUUGCUUGAGAGUGCAGCCCUAAGCGGGUGGUAAACUCCAUCUAAGGCUAAAUACAACCACGAGACCGAUAGCGAACAAGUACCGUGAGGGAAAGUUGAAAAGAACUUUGAAGAGAGAGUUCAAGAGUACGUGAAACCGCUCAGGGGUAAACGGAAAAGACCCGAAAUUUCCGAAGAGGGAGAUUCACGUCUUCUCGCUGGUUCGACGCAUCGCUCCUCUUCGACGGCCCUGCUCCCGCUCGGACUUGUCCGGCGCGUGGUGGUGGGGUUGCAGAGGGUGGUGUGGAGGACGGCGGCGGACCGCACUUCUCCCUCAGUAGGACGUCGUGACCCGUCCGGCCAUGGUCUUACGGUUGCGGGGUGGAGCCUGUCCGUUGGUGCUUGCAUCUUCCGGGCAGACCCCCGUGUCCCGGCCAUGGGUCAACUCGGUCGGUAUCAAAUGACGGUGUAAGGCCGCUCAUCGGUGGAGGAAACUCCUACCCGUGAGCGCGAUUGUGGCCCUUGACAAGGUGCCGGGAUGUUUCAGUCAAGGCGGGCUUCCGUCCGUCUGGCUGCUCUCGGUCCUGUUGGUUUCGGUGCCCUCUCGCCGGUCACUCCUCACGGAGUUCACCUGUCUACGGCGAAUCAGUUUUGGGCUCUUGUCCGACCCGUCUUGAAACACGGACCAAGGAGUUUAGCGUGUACGCGAGUCAUUGGGUUCUUACGAAACCCAAAGGCGAAAUGAAAGUGAAGGGAACUUCACGUUUCUGAGGGAAGAUGAGUCGGUCACCCGCAAGGGGCCACUCCGCACUCCCGGGGCGUCUCUAUCUCAUUGCGAGAGGAGGCGCACCCAGAGCGUACACGCUGAUACCCGAAAGAUGGUGAACUAUGCCUGGCCAGGACGAAGCCAGGGGAAACCCUGGUGGAGGUCCGCAGCGAUUCUGACGUGCAAAUCGAUCGUCGGAGCUGGGUUUAGGGGCGAAAGACCAAUCGAACCAUCUAGUAGCUGGUUCCCUCCGAAGUUUCCCUCAGGAUAGCUUGCGCUCAUACGAAACGAGUCUCAUCCGGUAGAGCGAAUGAUUAGAGGCCUUGGGGUCGAAACGAUCUCAACCUAUUCUCAAACUCCAAAUAGAUGAGAACUCCGGCUUUCUUGAAUGAAAAUUUUUGAAGCCGGGGGCUUGGAUCAGAGUGCCAAGUGGGCCAAUUUUGGUAAGCAGAACUGGCGCUGUGGGAUGAACCAAACGCCGAGUUAAGGCGCCUCAAUCGACGCUCAUGUGAAACCAUGAAAGGCGUUGGUUGCUUAAGACAGCAGGACGGUGGCCAUGGAAGUCGGAAUCCGCUAAGGAGUGUGUAACAACUCACCUGCCGAAGCAACUAGCCCUGAAAAUGGAUGGCGCUGUAGCGUCGUGCCUAUACUCGGCCGUCAACGGCAAAGAUGGUCGGACUUCGGUCUGACUGUUACGCCUUGACGAGUAGGAGGGCCGCGGCGACGUGCGUAGAAGGGUCUGGGCGUGAGCCUGCCUGGAGCCGUCGUCGGUGCAGAUCUUGGUGGUAGUAGCAAAUACUCCAGCGAGGCCCUGGAGGACUGAUGUGGAGAAGGGUUUCUUGUGAACAGCUGUUGCACAAGAGUCAGUCGGUCCUAAGCCCUAGGAGAAAUCCGAAGCGAUGGGUUGCCGUUCAUAAUACUAUGUUGGCACCCGUUUGGGCGAAAGGGAAUCCGGUUCCUAUUCCGGAACCUGGCAGUGGAACCGUUCCAAUUCGGGCCCUCUGAGGACUCGUCAGGGCAACCUGAAUAGACCCGGAGACGCCGACAGGAGGUUGGGGGAGAGUUGUCUCUUCUCUAUAAGCGAUCGAGUUCCCUGGAAACUUCUAGCAAGGAGAUAGGGUUUGGAUCGCGAAGAGCACUGCAGUUACGGCAGUGUCCCAAUCUUCCUCUCGGACCUUGAAAAUCCGGGUGAGGGCCACGAGGAACACCACGCCAGACCGUACCCAUAUCCGACAUGCAGUCUCCAACGUGCAAAGCCUCUA